GACGAACGCUGGCGGCGUGCUUAACACAUGCAAGUCGAACGAAGUGGCGAACGGGUGAGUAACGCGUAAUCAACCUGCACUUCAGAGGGGGACAACAGUUGGAAACGACUGCUAAUACCGCAUAAGGUAGGAGGGGAUUGCGUCGGAUUAGCUAGUUGGAGGGGUAACGGCCCACCAAGGCGAUGAUCAAGAGCCGGGCUGAGAGGGUGAACGGCCACAUUGGGACUGAGACACGGCCCAGACUCCUACGGGAGGCAGCAGUGGGGAAUCUUCCGCAAUGGACGAAAGUCUGACGGAGCAACGCCGCGUGAGUGAUGACGGCUUUCGGGUUGUAAAGCUCUGUUAAUCGGGACGCGGUACCUGAAUAGAAAGCCACGGCUAACUACGUGCCAGCAGCCGCGGUAAUUC
rnacentral:rRNA from 1 species